rnacentral:misc_RNA from 1 species
AAGUCGUAACAAGGUAACCGUAGGUGAACCUGCGGUUGGAUCAUUAACAAAUGAAGUUGGCAGAAGCCGACAACAACACCCGGUCAUCUGAUUGUAAGUUCCCAAAUGUUAUGCAUUUGGGAGCAAGAAUAAAUACCCCUACAACUCUAAAUGAAUUACUUGCGUGCUUUGCAGAUUGUAAAUGCAUGGAAUCUAAUGAAAAACAACUUUUGACAACGGAUCUCUUGGCUCUC